UACAGAGGGGGCAAGCGUUGUUCGGAAUUACUGGGCGUAAAGGGCUCGUAGGCGGCCAACUAAGUCAGACGUGAAAUCCCCAGGCUCAACCUGGGAACUGCGUCUGAUACUGGAUGGCUUGAAUCCGGGAGAGGGAUGCAGAAUUCCAGGUGUAGCGGUGAAAUGCGUAGAUAUCUGGAGGAAUACCGGUGGCGAAGGCGGCAUCCUGGACCGGCAUUGACGCUGAGGAGCGAAAGCUAGGGGAGCAAACGGG
rnacentral:rRNA from 1 species